AAAGUACUCCCUCCGUCCCAAAAUUCUUGUCUUAGAUUUGUCUAAAUACGGAUGUAUCAAGUCACGUUUUAGUAUUAGAUACAUUCGUAUCUAGACAAAUCUAAGACAAGAAUUUUGGGAUGGAGGGAGUAGGAU
rnacentral:pre_miRNA from 1 species